rnacentral:rRNA from 1 species
CUACGGGUGGCUGCAGUCGAGAAUCUUCCACAAUGGACGAAAGUCUGAUGGAGCGACGCCGCGUGAGGGAUUAAGGCUUUCUGAGUCGUAAACCUCUGUCAGGAGAGAAGAAAAGCAUUGUAAUGAAUAGUUACGAUGUCUGACGUUAUCUCCAGAGGAAGCUCCGGCUAACUCCGUGCCAGCAGCCGCGGUAAUACGGGGGGAGCAAGCGUUGUCCGGAAUUAUUGGGCGUAAAGGGCGUGUAGGUGGUUUUGUAAGUCGAAUGUGGAAUCUUACGGCUCAACCGUGAAAUUGCGUUCGAAACUACAUGACUUGAGUUAGGGAGAGGUGUACGGAAUUCCUGGUGUAGCGGUGGAAUGCGUAGAUAUCAGGAAGAACACCGAUGGCGAAGGCAGUACACUGGCCUGUAACUGACACUGAGGCGCGAAAGCGUGGGGAGCAAACAGGAUUAGAUACCCGAGUAGUC